rnacentral:tRNA from 1 species
UAUCUUGUGGCUGAGUGGUUUAAGGCACCUGUGCACGGGAGCGUGAAAAGCUGGCUGGGAGUGCUCGGCUGUCUUGGAGUAGCGCCGUGGGUUCGAAUCCCAUCGAGAUAG